rnacentral:rRNA from 1 species
UACGGAGGGUGCGAGCGUUGUCCGGAAUCACUGGGCGUAAAGGGCGCGUAGGCGGCGCUGGAAGUCCGUGGUGAAAGCCCGAGGCUCAACUUCGGGUCGGCCAUGGAUACUCCUGGGCUCGAGCACUGUAGAGGCAGGUGGAAUUCCGGGUGUAGCGGUGGAAUGCGUAGAGAUCCGGAAGAACACCGGUGGCGAAGGCGGCCUGCUGGGCAGUGACCGUAAGGUCUUAAAAGCUGACGCUGAGGCGCGACAGCGUGGGGAGCAAACAGG